rnacentral:ncRNA from 2 species
AAGGCUUUUCAAAGUUCAGGUGUUCAAUUAGCUUAAUAGGGAAACCGGUUAGAUUCCGGUACGGGCCCGCCGCUGUAACCCUACCCUUUUAAAGGGAACCUUUUUAGCAUUCAUUCGCCACUGUUCCGACAAGCCGGGAUGGGAAGGCCGCUAAAAAGGCAAGGAAGUCAGAAGACCUGCCUGAACUGAAGGUUUAAC